rnacentral:rRNA from 1 species
CAGUAGCCGCGGUAAUACGAAGGGUGCAAGCGUUACUCGGAAUUACUGGGCGUAAAGCGUGCGUAGGUGGUGGUUUAAGUCCGUUGUGAAAGCCCUGGGCUCAACCUGGGAAUUGCAGUGGGUACUGGGUCACUAGAGUGUGGUAGAGGAUAGUGGAAUUUCCGAUGUAGCAGUGAAAUGCGUAGAGAUCGGAAGGAACAUCUGUGGCGAAGGCGACUAUCUGGGCCAACACUGACACUGAGGCACGAAAGCGUGGGGAGCAAACAGGAUUAGAUACCCCUGUAGUCCCUGUCUCUUAUAC